GUCUUGUAAUUGGAAUGAUGGUGACCUAAACCCUCACCAGAGUAACAAUUGGAGGGCAAGUCUGGUGCCAGCAGCCGCGGUAAUUCCAGCUCCAAUAGCGUAUAUUAAACUUGUUGCAGUUAAAAAGCUCGUAGUUGAAUUUCUGCGUUAUCGAGUUAUUGACUCUUGUCUUUAAUCGAUUUCGCUUUUGGGAUUUAUCCCUUUUUACUUUGAGAAAAUUAGAGUGUUUCAAGCAGACUUUUGUCUUGAAUACUUCAGCAUGGAAUAAUAGAGUAGGACUUUGGUUCUAUUUUGUUGGUUUUUGAACCUUAGUAAUGGUUAAUAGGAACGGUUGGGGGCAUUCGUAUUUAACUGUCAGAGGUGAAAUUCUUAGAUUUGUUAAAGACGAACUACUGCGAAAGCAUUUGCCAAGGACGUUUCCAUUAAUCAAGAACGAAAGUUAGGGGAUCGAAGACGAUCAGAUACCGUCGUAGUCCUAACCAUAAACUA
rnacentral:rRNA from 1 species